rnacentral:rRNA from 1 species
GAUGAACGCUGGCGGCGUGCCUAACACAUGCAAGUCGAACGAAGCGACUGGAGGAAGUUUUCGGAUGGAAUCCGGUUGACUGAGUGGCGGACGGGUGAGUAAUGCGUGGAUAACCUGCCUCACACUGGGGGAUAACAGUUAGAAAUGGCUGCUAAUACCGAAUACGUUCUUUUGUCGCAUGGCAGAGAGAAGAAAGGGAGGCUCUUCGGAGCUUUCGCUGAAGGAGGGGCUUGCGUCUGAUUAGCUAGUUGGAGGGGUAACGGCCCACCAAGGCGACGAUCAGUAGCCGGUCUGAGAGGAUGAACGGCCACAUUGGGACUGAGACACGGCCCAG